GGGGCAGUAGCUCAGUUGGGAGAGCGCGACGUUCGCAAUGUCGAGGUCAGGGGUUCGAUUCCCCUCUGCUCCA
rnacentral:tRNA from 1 species